rnacentral:snoRNA from 1 species
UGGAUAUGAUGACUGAUUACCUGAGAAAUCAUUGAUGAAAUCUCAAGAAAAUUCCUCUAGAUAGUCAAGUUCUGAUCCAG